CCUACGGGGGGCAGCAGUGGGGAAUAUUGCACAAUGGUGGAAACCCUGAUGCAGCGACGCCGCGUGAGUGAAGAAGUAUUUCGGUAUGUAACGCUCUGUCAGCAGGGAAGAAAAUGACGGUACCUGACCAAGAAGCCCCGGCUAACUACGUGCCAGCAGCCGCGGUAAUACGUAGGGGGCAAGCGUUAUCCGGAUUUACUGGGUGUAAAGGGGGCGUAGACGGGAGGGCAAGUCUGGAGUGAAAGGCGGGGGCUCAACCCCCGGACUGCUCUGGAAACUGCCAGGCUGGAGUGCAGGAGAGGUGAGUGGAAGUCCUAGUGUAGCGGUGAAAUGCGUAGAUAUUAGGAGGAACACCAGUGGCGAAGGCGGCUUACUGGACUGUAACUGACGUUGAGGCUCGAAAGCGUGGGGAGCAAACAGGAUUAGAUACCCCGGUAGUC
rnacentral:rRNA from 1 species